AGAACGAACGCUGGCGGCAUGCCUAAUACAUGCAAGUCGAACGAACUCUUCGGAGUUAGUGGCGCACGGGUGCGUAACGCGUGGGAACCUGCCCCUUGGUUCGGAAUAACAGUUGGAAACGACUGCUAAUACCGGAUGAUGACGAAAGUCCAAAGAUUUAUCGCCAAGGGGU
rnacentral:rRNA from 1 species